rnacentral:rRNA from 1 species
AUUGAACGCUGGCGGCAUGCCUUACACAUGCAAGUCGAACGGCAGCACGGGGCAACCUGGUGGCGAGUGGCGAACGGGUGAGUAAUGCAUCGGAACGUACCUUUCAGUGGGGGAUAACGUAGCGAAAGUUACGCUAAUACCGCAUAUUCUGUGAGCAGGAAAGCAGGGGAUCGCAAGACCUUGCGCUGAUUGAGCGGCCGAUGUCAGAUUAGCUAGUUGGUGAGGUAAAGGCUCACCAAGGCGACGAUCUGUAGCGGGUCUGAGAGGAUGAUCCGCCACACUGGAACUGAGACACGGUCCAGACUCCUACGGGAGGCAGCAGCGGGGAAUUUCGGACAAUGGGGGCAACCCUGAUCCAGCCAUGCCGCGUGAGUGAAAAAGGCCUUCGGGUUGUAAAGCUCUUUCGGCCGGGAAGAAAUCGCACGGGCUAAUACCCUGUGUGGAUGACGGUACCGGAAUAAGAAGCACCGGCUAACUACGUGCCAGCCGCCGCCGCAGUAA